ensembl:lncRNA
GGAAAAAUGCCUCCGUGGAGAACUGCCCGCCUUCUGUGAUUGUUGUUUAUUAUUUCAAGCUUUCAAAUUGUUGCAUGUGUCGUCUUCCUCAGGGGGUGGAAAGCUCUGUUUUUGUUUGAGUGGUCUGAGCGUAAGCAAACAGAACCAACAGUGACAUAGACCACACAACUCCAGAUGUGUCCGUUCGUCUGAGGCUCUGAGCCCCUUGUCAGGCCUUCUUUCCAGCUGUGAUUGAGGCCUCUCCCUACGCAAACAUGGCUUUUGUACGGCAUUCAAUGUCAGUCAACCCGACAAUAAGAAAUCUCACCCUUUUAUUAUUAGGCUAAGACUUGACACCAAGAAAAAACAUCCUUCCAUAAUAAUUUAACGGGCUCUAUCCUGCCUUUCGAUCAUCUCUCCUUCAUUUGGCGGGACAAAUGAGAGAGUCAAAAAAAGAGAAGAAAUCUCUCCGCACACAAGGAAGGGUUGUCUCAAAGGCUAAGCGAAAGCUUUGCAUUUAAUCCAGUAAACAUGACGGUGGAGAGACUUGAUCAAACCUGGAUUUGAAUGGGGAGCUCUUAUCUUACCACGAGCCUCUUGUGAAAUAACAUACCAUGUAUGAACUCAAAGAAAUCACAGACGUGUUCUUCAAACAGAUUCCCCACCGCUUUCCUCUCCUCCCUGCUCUCCUUCACUGGCUUUCUCUCCCUCUCCCCCGAUCAACAGCGCAUAGACGUUAAUCCACCACUAGCAAUAACAAAUAAUGAAAUUGGGAAAAUAAGUUGCAACAUGGUAGAAAGAAAAUAUUGUUUUCCCGAAAAUAAACCACAGUCCGCUUUGUAUUGCAAAACAGCACCGUGUCAACAGUGUCAGGCGUCCAACACUCCGCGCCAAGGUCUCUGGGCUCUGGUGGAGAAAAACAUGCUGGUCGGAAGAUUGCCACGGGAGAUUGGAACAGAGACUGUAAGGAGAAAUGGAGAGAAGUAGGAAGAGGAGAGAGAGAGGAGGAGAGAGAAAGGUGGUUUACAAUUGGAUUGCUGCUUCCAAAUCUGCACAUUGAAAGCUUUGUGGAACAACGUUCAGAUACUGUGGUACACUGUAGCUGAAGCUGUUCCCAUAUAUUCCUCAGCUACCAGAACAGCAAUAUUAACUGUAUUGUUUAUGCUUUCUACCCUCCUUUGUCCUCCCUAACUCCCUCUCUUUGUAUAAUCUGUUCAUCCUGUUUUGGGGGCUCUUUGUUACUUUUAUCUUGUGCAGUAAGUCUUUUGGUAUGUUUUUAAACUCUCAUCCCCAUGGAGGAGAAAGUGUCGGUCCUACAUUCAUUUCUCUGAAAGUAAUUGCAUAACCUGUGUAAUUAAUCAUCCGAAUUGACAUAAUGUAUUUUUCCUGAUGCCUGUUUUUUUUGUGACUUGAUGAGGACCAGUUAAUAACUCUGGCCCAAGUUCACCACCACAACUAGCCAAGUCCAUUGGGGUCGUCCGACUAAAGAGCAUACAGUGAUCCAUUUGACUUGGCCGUCACGUUCCAUCUCCACAUCAGAUCUUCUUUGCCUUCCUAUGUUCUGGACAGUGUUUUAUUUUUUACAAAACGGAAUCUAAAUAGUUGAAGGAGUCAGUCGCCCACAUUGCUUGAGAAUGACUCCUUCCCUCUGAGCGUACACUCCACCCAGCACCAGUGUGAGUGUGUGUUUGUGUGCGGGCUUGUGUGUGAAAUUAGUGCCUUUGAUAUUUUAAGAAGAAAUAAAAGCAUGUUAUGUUAGAGGAAGUGCCAUUUAAUAUAUACAACAUGGAGAAUUCAAUCAAUCCGAUUUUUAAUAUGAAUAAAGACUUGCUGAAGUGGCAAGAUUCAGCAUUUUGACAUGUCCAUCCGUGCCCCAUCUGUGACAUCUAGGAAGAUUUUAACCCACUGAACCCCAACAUUUCUCCAGGUUUUCAAUAUAAAGCCCUAGUUAUUUUGUUGCUUUGACAGUUAUUACAGAAGAUGAUGAUUUAUUUCAUGUGAUUAGUGAUUCACGUACGUCUGUCCCUCAUUUUUAAUUUCUUUUUUUUUUCAAAUAUUGUUUUCUGAAGAAACAUUGAGCGUCUAAUAGUCAAUUCCUGGAGUAAAUGCAGGUGAGCUGGUUCUACUCUUUUUGGCCAUUUUCUGGUGUUUAGUGGUGGAAAUGUUUUAACAAUUUAAAUGUUUUUGUGAAGUUUGCGUUCAAUUGCCACACCCUGUUGCACACAACAAGCUUCCAUUCCCCCUGUCACAAGGGGAUUUAUGGCUGAUUUAAGAUGAAAAGUUGUUUUUUUAUGGAGUUAAAUAUGUGUACUUUAUAACAGAAUGUUGAAAUAAGUGAAAUCAAACAUUGCAUUUUUUUUUUGCUUCUCAAAAGGCACCGAAUUGGUGAAACCACCCAUGAAUUGGUCUCCAGUCUCACCCGGAGAGAGACAAUGAAAUGGUAGUGGGAAAAGGAAGUAACACAUUACAUGACAUAUUUCCUUAGGGCCCCGAGCAAACCAACAAGCUAGCUUCCUCCAUCAUGACCUGAUGGUCAUCUCUGUGUUUUGUCAUAGCUAGUUUUUUUACUAUUCUUUCUAACGAAUCACUUUGAAUGUCAGUUCAAAUUUUAUUUGGAUGGAAACUUAGUUUGUAUAAUCACUUGAUUACUUUUCUUAUCUCAUACUACUUUGGAGGUUAGGAAACAUUUUGAACAGGCUUUCCCACUGGGCACAGGUGUCAAUACAGCGUCUCUUCCAUGUUGGUUCAAGGUCAUUUUAUUGAAAUGACGUGGAAACAACGUUGAUUCAACCAGUGCGUGUUGAACGGAUUAUAAUGUACAAGGCCUUAAAGGGGCAUUUCACCCUGGCUCUGCCACGACGUGUAGUCAUUACUAUAUUAAUAAUAUACGUUUUUAUCAUAAACAUCACAAUUAUCUAAACCACUAGCUAGAACUUGCACAUUUUCAUUUUACUGGUAGAAUCCGGAAGUUUCGACUCCCUGAUGAACCACAAAGUCCAGCACUUAUAGCGAAUGCUGAUACUGCCCGCUAGGUAGAGGGGGCGUGCCCAAAAACGUCAAUAAUGGCAUUGUUUACUAUGAACGACCAACACACAAAAAUGUGUGUGUGUGUGUGUGCGGGCUUGUAUGUGAAAUUAGUGCCUUUGAUAUUUUAAGUUGAAAUUGUACACCAAUAUUGAAUUUUAAAAGCCUGUUAUGUUAAAUGAAGUGCCAUUUAAUAUAGACAACAUGGAUAAUUCAAUCAAUCAGAUUUUGCAUUGAUGAAUGUGUAUAAAUCGUCUAUGGUUGGUUAGUUGGUUCUCAGCCAGUCUCAGCUGGCUAGCAAUCUUGCUACCAAUUUAGUGAUGCUAGUUAGCUAACAGCAAGCUGACGAUAUUGAAAUGUCCAUGUUAGGAAUGCUUAGCUAGCCAGUUUAAUAGAGGUCAAUACAAUUAGUGGGGUGGUUAAAUUGUGUAUUGUUGUGUAUUUUGUUGUAGGUGCUACAGAAUCUGAUUCCACCAACAUGCACUUCCAACCACUGGCUCUGCUCAAUAUGAAGUUAAAUUGGCCAAAUAUGUACAAACUGAUGGCUAAGACAGCUCAAUUUAGAGUAAGCAUGGUAUAAACAUUAAUUGGGUAGUGUUUGUAUGGUUUGUGUUGUGUUCUGGGGUUACAGGUGGUUCGAGGUAGCCAGAGGACCACAGAGUACCUUCCAGAACAAUUUAGUCUACCCCUCUUCUCUUCUUACCUUUUCUAUUUGUACAACUCAGGUUAUCUGGAGUCAUUCCGCGGUGCCCCAAAGUGGGGGCCUUUUGAGUGCACAAGCAUGAGGGAGCGGACACAGUUAUGGAGCACAUUGGGACAGAAACCAGCAAGUGACACUGAAAGAGGACCUGAGCCCUAGGACCAUGCUUCAGGACUACCUGACAUGAUGACUCCUUGCUGUCCCCAGUCCACCUGGCCGUGCUGCUGCUCCAGUUUCAACUGUUCUGCCUUAUUAUUAUUGGACCAUGCUGGUCAUUUAUGAACAUUUGAACAUCUUUGUCAUGUUCUGUUAUAAUCUCCACCCGGCACAGCCAGAAGAGGACUGGCCACCCCACAUAGCCUGGUUCCUCUCUAGGUUUCUUCCUAGGUUUUGCCCUUUCUAGGGAGUUUUUCCUAGCCACCGUGCUUCUACACCUGCAUUGCUUGCUGUUUGGGGUUUUAGGCUGGGUUUCUGUACAGCACUUUGAGAUAUCAGCUGAUGUACGAAGGGCUAUAUAAAUACAUUUGAUUUGAUUUGAUUUGAUGACUGAACAGAGAUUACAUUCUGGCAGUGUGAAAGUGGCAGGGCUGAGUAUUUGUAGAGGUCUUGAUUAUGGAACAGGUUGCAGCUGGUGGUGAUCUGCUCUGACUCCAGCACAACUGUCUCCGCCCACACAAUCACACACAAAGAGAGAGAGGGAGAGGGAGAGAGUACUGGGGGAGUGAAGGCACGUCAAGGAGACACAGGAUGAGAAGUAGAGGGCGGUGCAGGAGCAAAUGUGACAGGCACAGAGAUUACAUUUACAACUAUAUCUAGCCUAAUAGUGUCACGUGUGCUCCCUCUCCGGCCUCUAGGUCACCAGGCUGCUCGUUAUGGCUCACACCUGUCACCAUUGAUGCGCGCACCUGUGCGUCAUCAGACUCACCUGGACUCCAUCACUUCCCUGAUUACCUUCCCUAUAUAUGUCUCUCCCUUAGGUUCCUUCCCCAGGCAUUAUUGUUUCUGUUCCAGUGUCAUGUCUGUUCGUGGUUCUUGUUUUUUUACUGUCACGUGUGCUCCCUCUCUGGCCUCUAAGUCACCAGGCUGCUCGUUAUGGCUCACACUUGUCACCAUCGUUACGCGCACCUGCGUGUCAUCAGACUCACCUGGACUCCAUCACUUCCCUGAUUACCUUCCCUAUAUACAGUGCCUUGCGAAAGUAUUCGGCCCCCGGCUUUAAACUUCUUCACAACAGUAUCUCGGACCUGCCUGGUGUGUUCCUUGUUCUUCAUGAUGCUCUCUGCGCUUUUAACGGACCUCUGAGACUAUCACAGUGCAGGUGCAUUUAUACGGAGACUUGAUUACACACAGGUGGAUUGGAUUUAUCAUCAUUAGUCAUUUAGGUCAACAUUGGAUCAUUCAGAGAUCCUCACUGAACUUCUGGAGAGAGUUUGCUGCACUGAAAGUAAAGAGGCUGAAUAAUUUUGCACGCCCAAUUUUUCAGUUUUUGAUUUGUUAAAAAAGUUUGAAAUAUCCAAUAAAUGUCAUUCCACUUCAUGAUUGUGUCCCACUUGUUGUUGAUUCUUCACAAAAAAAUACAGUUUUAUAUCUUUGUUUGAAGCCUGAAAUGUGGCAAAAGGUCGCAAAGUUCAAGGGGGCCGAAUAGUUUCGCAAGGCACUGUAUGUCACUCCCUUUCGUUCCUUACCCAGGCGUUAUUGUUUCUGUUCCUUUGUCAUGUCUGUGCGUUGUUCGUGUUUCUUAUUUUGUAUUAUGUUACAUUUAUUUAUUUAAACACUCACCCCCUGAACUUGCUUGCCGACUCUCAGCGCACUCGUUACAAAUAGAAAGAAAUAUGGCAUAACCCUCAACAAUUGAACAGUGACAAGACCGUACAAAUGAGCAUACUGUAGGUAGGUAUGCAGACAGUAUCUACCUACAGCCAUGUCUAUCAGGCAUGCUUAGGCAAAUAUUCUUUAUAGUAAACCAGCGUCAUUUUUAGAGAUAUACAACUGUAAAUUGUUGUAUUAUUAUUUCUCCUCAUUGUUUGCUAGGUAACUUAGCUAGCUAGCUUGCUAGAUAUACAAUACUUGAUAUUUAAAUCUGUUUGGAAUCCUAUCUUGCGUCAUGCCUAUAAUUCUGUGAGAUUGAAAUGCAUCCAAGUUCAUAAUCAUAACUGAUGUCAACCCUCGUCAAUUGUGUUACAUAGCUAGCUAGUAAAAUUAUUUACAGUUGCUGAUUUUAUACCUGUUUGCUAACAAGUUACAGAUACGAGCAGUGGUAUAAAGUACUUAAGUAAAAGUACUACUUAAGUCGUUCUUUGGGGUAUCUGUACUUUACUUUACUAUUUCUAUUUUUGAAAAAUGUACUUUUACUCUACUACAUUCCAGAAUAAACACAGAAAUGUCUGCA